CACAACACUGAGAUGAAGGCGAAGUCACCAUGAAAAGUUAAACCUUUACCGUUAAGCCCAAAUUGUGAUGGACCUGGAAUGCGACACCAGUUACUCUUAAGACAAGAACCGAAUAAAGCACAGUGGAGGGAUUUGCAGCCAAACUAACUGGAGGGAAGGAACCUUUAGUGUGGGUGAACAUACUACCUGGAUGUCCAACAAAGGCUGCACAAGAGCUCAUUUGAUUGCACAUAUUCUGUCCUGUCUACAUCUCGGAUGACCUGGAAGUGCUUCGACAUCAGAUCAUCAUCAUGCUGCUGCCCUUUUUCACUGUCCCUUUCCACAUCAUUUGGCCUUCAUCAUUUCCUGUCUUGUAGCAGUAUUUUCACCUGUUUUUAAAAUUGUAAUAAUUUUUGAUGCAUUAAUUGUUGACUGGUUUUAAUGAUCAAUUGUUUAUUAGUGUUCUGUUGCUCUGUUAUAUUGAAUUACUGCUACUGUUUUAGCAUGGUUUACACAAUAAACCUUUAUU
ensembl:processed_transcript